UACGAAGGGUGCAAGCGUUACUCGGAAUUACUGGGCGUAAAGCGUGCGUAGGUGGUCUGUUAAGUCUGAUGUGAAAGCCCUGGGCUCAACCUGGGAAUUGCAUUGGAUACUGGCAGGCUAGAGUGCGGUAGAGGGUAGUGGAAUUCCCGGUGUAGCAGUGAAAUGCGUAGAUAUCUGGAGGAACACCGAUGGCGAAGGCAGCCCCCUGGGCUAACACUGACGCUCAUGCACGAAAGCGUGGGGAGCAAACAGG
rnacentral:rRNA from 1 species